AGGGUGACCAACUGUCUUGGUUUGCCUGGGACUGAGGGUUUCCUGGGAUGUGGGAUGUUUAGGACUA
ensembl:miRNA